rnacentral:lncRNA from 1 species
CCGCAGGCAUCAGUGCGCCUGGAAAGGUUGUCACCGGAACACCAGAAUCUGAUGACGGGGCGGGCCACUUGGGCCAGCCACCCCAUCCUUCCUGGGAAAGCGAACCCGAGGGUAGAGAGCCCUCAAUCGGACCACGACUCCAGCCCUAGAAGAUCCCUGCCCCCAUUCUGCCAGAGGACCCUCGAGACUCGAAGUCGAGAGGAUAUCCU